GUCGGUGAAAGCAACAUACGACGGCGUGGUCCUGUUGCCCUGGUCGUUGGCUAUGAUCUCAACUCGAUCAUGCUGCCACACACCGACGCAAGAGUAGGUGGUUCCAAGAUCGAUUCCAAUUGCCGGACCUUCUCCUUUACCGGCCAUAGUUAGUCUUCAAAACGAUGGAAAAAGAAUCUGUGAUGAAAAAUGGAAAGUUGAAUGGGAA
rnacentral:misc_RNA from 1 species